CUUUGUGGAGAAGGUUGACAAUGGCACCACCUUGUGCAAAAUCUGAUCAUAACAGUUGAUUUCAAAGCGCAACUCUCUGACUACAUACACGUACAUAAACUGCAAGCGACGCGACAAACUACAACGGUUCUAUUAUAAUGAACAACUCUGCGACGCGGUGAAAUUAAGUUUGUCGCGUCGCGUCAGAUGGGGCUUGAGCGUCGGGGCGUCGCCUUGGCUCGACCCGAACCAAUCGGGAUUCCGCUCAGAACUUUGUAAACAACACAGUUGCACGCUGUAUGAAAACUUUACUACGAGAGGAUGUCGCGUGCCGAGGACCGCCAGAACAUCACUCAACCAGGUGGCCAUGGAUUUCACAUAGGCCAGAUCUUGUGCAUGCAUUCAACGCCUUGUUUGAUGGUGCACAACGACUCAAUGAAGGAAACAUCUGCCUGCGUGUUGCACCGUCUGCACCAGAUCACCACAGCCGGCUAACUGAGGGAGAACUGCUGCACGGCACAUCCACAUCGCCGGAGAAACUGCUGCUGCUCUCUCUCUCUCUCUCACACACACACACACACACGUGAAGUUCUGCUUCAGCAUACCACCAGCAUCCUCCACAGCAGCUGUGUGCGUGUGUCUGUUUGUGUAUGUGUGUCAACACAUGAACUUUCUCUUUUCAUCCAGCAGUUGGGAACGUGCCUCAGUCCUCACCACUGGCCAUCAGCUCUGUUCCAUAUUCUUCUGGAGUGCGUGGACGUACACACACACAAGUGCACACAGUUCCUGUGUGGUAAACCUGAUUAGAUGCAGUGGGUUACACUGAGCAGUUCUGAGAUCAGUAGACUACUUGUGCAGACUAGUAGAAGAAGACUCAGUUGUGCAUAAUAGCAAUGUGUUAUUUCAGAGCCAAUUAAGGCUUGCUUUCAUCCUUUUUCAAAGUAAUGUCACAAGAAAGCUGAUGCAGAAAUUACGUCUGGUUAGUAAGGCUCCUUUUAACCUG
ensembl:lncRNA